AUGGCCCAGGCGACCGGGAUGGAAUCCACGGCAUAUGCUUCUUCAUGUGACAUGGAGAACGAGAAGGUUCGAGAUGAUUCAACUAUCUUUCUCAUAUCUAACGGAAACUUACGGCUUCAAGAGGCCAGACAGAUGCACAACUCUAGUCGGUGGAUUAGAAGAAGGUUUCAUUUGUGUCACGCCCCAACUCUUGUUCCUAUUCUCACUAGCGAGGUUUUGUUCGUGCAAGCAGUGUGUCAGCAGAUCUUUGCGUUGUCAAGCCAACUCAGGGAUCUAAGUCUGUUGGCAAAAUGGCAAAUACUCCACUGCUUCCGCUUCCGGAAGCCUGACCGAUGA
rnacentral:rRNA from 1 species